UUUAUGGAGAGUUUGAUCCUGGCUCAGGAUGAACGCUGGCGGCGUGCCUAAUACAUGCAAGUCGAGCGAACAGAUAAGGAGCUUGCUCCUUUGACGUUAGCGGCGGACGGGUGAGUAACACGUGGGUAACCUACCUAUAAGACUGGAAUAACUCCGGGAAACCGGGGCUAAUGCCGGAUAACAUGUUGAACCGCAUGGUUCUACAGUGAA
rnacentral:rRNA from 1 species